rnacentral:rRNA from 1 species
AGAGUUUGAUCCUGGCUCAGAUUGAACGCUGGCGGCAGGCUUAACACAUGCAAGUCGAGCGGAAACGAUGGGAGCUUGCUCCCAGGCGUCGAGCGGCGGACGGGUGAGUAACGCGUAGGAAGCUACCCAGUAGAGGGGGAUAGCCCGGGGAAACCCGGAUUAAUACCGCAUACGCCCUAAGGGGGAAAGGCCGGGAUCUUCGGACCGGUCACUAUUGGAUGAGCCUGCGUAAGAUUAGCUAGUUGGUGGGGUAAAGGCCUACCAAGGCGACGAUCUUUAGCUGGUCUGAGAGGAUGAUCAGCCACACUGGAACUGAGACACGGUCCAGACUCCUACGGGAGGCAGCAGUGGGGAAUAUUGCACAAUGGGCGCAAGCCUGAUGCAGCCAUGCCGCGUGUAUGAAGAAGGCCUUCGGGUUGUAAAGCACUUUCAGUAGUGAAAAAGGCCAUUAAGUUAAUAGCUUGGUGGAUUGAUAUUAGCGACAGAAGAAGCACCGGCUAACUCCGUGCCAGCAGCCGCGGUAAUACGGAGGGUGCAAGCGUUAAUCGGAAUUACUGGGCGUAAAGCGCGCGUAGGCGGUUUGAUAAGUGGGAUGUGAAAUCCCUGGGCUUAACCUAGGAACUGCAUUCGAAACUGUCAGGCUAGAGUACGGUAGAGGGGGGUAGAAUUCCAUGUGUAGCGGUGAAAUGCGUAGAUAUCCGAAAGAACAUCAGUGGCGAAGGCGGCUUUCUGGACUAACACUGACUCUGAGGUACGAAAGCGUGGGGAGCAAACAGGAUUAGAUACCCUGGUAGUCCACGCUGUAAACGAUGUCAACUAGCCGUUGGGGGGGUAAUCCCUUUAGUGUCGCAGCUAACGCGUUAAGUUGACCGCCUGGGGAGUACGGCCGCAAGGUUGAAACUCCAAAGGAAUUGACGGGGGGCCCCCACAAACGGUGGGAGCAUGUGGGUUUAAUUUCGAUGCAACGCGAAGAACCUUACCACCCCUUGACAUACUCGGAACUUUCUAGAGAUAGAUUGGUGCCUUCGGGAACCGAGAUACAGGUGCUGCAUGG